GUAGGUGGCAAGCGUUGUCCGGAAUUAUUGGGCGUAAAGCGCGCGCAGGCGGUUCUUUAAGUCUGAUGUGAAAGCCCACGGCUCAACCGUGGAGGGUCAUUGGAAACUGGAGAACUUGAGUACAGAAGAGGAAAGCGGAAUUCCACGUGUAGCGGUGAAAUGCGUAGAGAUGUGGAGGAACACCAGUGGCGAAGGCGGCUUUCUGGUCUGUAACUGACGCUGAGGCGCGAAAGCGUGGGGAGCAAACAGGGAUUAGAUACCCUGGUAGUCCACGCCGUAAACGAUGAGUGCUAAGUGUUAGGGGGGUUUCCGCCUCUUAGUGCUGCAGCUAACGCAUUAAGCACUCCGCCUGGGAGUACGGCCGCAAGGCUG
rnacentral:rRNA from 1 species